AGUUAUGUUCAGUGUGGUUUGGGUGUAGAAUGGAGGCCAAAGGAAGAAAGCUUCAGGAAACAGACUUUCGUGUGCAUGGCUGGAGCAUUUCUAAUCUGGGCUUAGGAGCUGGGAAGCCCCAUCCUUGGAGACACCUGAGCACAGAUGGGUGAUUCCUUGAUAAAGCCUCCGUGGAAGGGAUCAGCGUCACAAGGGUUAGUACAUUAGGAUUGGCAGGUGCGCAUUGAGAAAAUACAGAUUCCCCACUCCCUCCUGUCCUUGAGAUUUGGGUUUGUAAUUUUUCCCAGCUUUGUUGAGAUGCAUCGGACAUACGACAUUGUGUAAGUUUAACGUGGACGACGUGACGAUUGGAUACACGUAUAUAUUGCGAAACAGUUACCACAGUAAGGUUGGUUAACACCUCCGUCACCUCCCAUAAUUACCGUGUGUGUGUGGUGAGAACAUUAGGUUCCAUUCUCUUAGCCACUUUCAGUAUAUAAUAUAGUAUUCACUGUAGUCACCAUGUUGUUCGUUACGUACUUAAUUGAGUCAGUAAAUAUGGGGGGACAGUAACCUUUCCUUAAGGUCCCUCAGGUGAUUAUGAUGUAGAUUAUUGGUCCAGAACAGCAGUGGGGAGCUUUGACCCCAUCCAACCCUAAGAUAGUCUGAUUUCCCGAGGGGCAGCCUAGUUAGGGGCACACACUCUGGGGCUGGCCUGCCUGGCUUCACGUGUAGCUCAGCCACUUGUCGUUGCGUGACCAGUGACUUAACCUCCAGUGCACUUCAGUUUCCUCCUCUGUAAGACGGUGGCAGUAUCGUGAGAAUUAAAUAAUCACGUGUGCGUGCACGCACACACGUACGAGUUACUACAGUCCUGUGCUGCGUGAUGACACUCCAGUCAGCAAUGGACCGUGUAUACAAUGUUGGUGCCAUCAGAUGAGUGCCAUCUAGCCCGGGUGUGCAGUGGACGGCACCAUCUAGGUUUGUGUAAGUGCACUCUGUGACGUUCGCACAACAACGAGAUCGCCUAAUGACGCAUUUCUCGGACGUGACCCCAUCGUUAAGCGACGCAUGGCUGUUUAGCGCUUUGAACGAUCCCUGGCACGUAGUAAGUGCCAUGUAAACGUUAGCUGAUAUCGUGACUAAUAUACGUUAUCAAGCCUUACCAGAGGCCCCAUAGGUAAUCGUCAUCAGACGUACACCGUAGCCCCGCACAACCGGGGCUCCCCCCGGCGCUGGACUGUCUCCCUCUGUUCUCGCCUGUCCUGAUGGAUUCACGAGGCCCUGAGACGUGAAGACCUGGGAGGAGCCCCUGCCACCUCCUUGUGUCUGUGGUUCUGGGUCAGAUGGCAUCAGUAAAUGGAUUGAUGGAUGUCUCAGCACCAUCAGAUCAUAAGGCUGCAUCCCACAGGCCCUGGCAGACGGUAAGGCUGCAUCCCGCAGGCCCUGGCAGAUCUUGGUAGCAUGCACGGUCUCUGCCCUGAGGUUGCAGCCUGGCCUGAAACCCAGACUGGGAUGCCCAGACACAGGAGUCCUGCGGGGACCUCUCAGGCCAGCGUUUAUGUCCUUCCCUGUAUACAUCAGAAUUAGGGGGCUGCUGAUGAACAGUCUUAAAUCUAGACCCUCAAGGCAGUUCUGUUAAGGGUGGUGGCUGAAUCUGAGGCUGGACGUAAGAUCCAGGAUUUGUCCCAGAGGGAAGUCAUCCUGUUUGGCUGGCCCCUGUGUGGCUGGUUUUCUGCCAUCUAGCGUUGGGAGUGCUGAAGUACAUGCCACAAAGAGACAGAAGCCCCAACAACUUUGCCAGCUGGCACGUCCCCCAGGGAUGUACGGCAUAGAGACCAUCCCAGAGCAGGAAAGAACCCGCCAGGUUGGCUAGUUCAGGGUCUUUGUCCGUCUACAGAUACAGCCUUUCUUCCAACAAAACCUGUUCUGGAAGCACAAGGUGUGGAAGUCAGAAGUGCUCUGGCUGGGAGGGAGGGGUCCCUCAGCCCCGCCUUGCACCCUGCUCCCGCACCGUGGGUCCUGGGGUGCCCACCAGAGCACAGUUUGAAAGAUACUGCUGGAGUCAGCCUUCGUUCGUAAAUGAGGAAACCCAGGGAGGUUAAAUGAGUUGCCUACAAGCACAGAACGCGCAGAAGAGCAGAGACCUCAGCCCGGCUUGUUGUUCUCUGUGCCCUCUCCCCUGGUGUGCUCUGGCCAGCCUGUAGAGGCUUGAAGGCGCUGAUCCCCACGGUAAAUGGGGUCCUUCUGAGAGCAAGGACGUGUUUGGGGUCCCACUGACUCUCUGGAGAGCCGGACACGGCAGAAACGUCAGCUCCUCCUUUGCUGUUCCUUUACCCCUCACAGCCUAUCCCUGAGUGACAGGACCCAAUUUGAAGAGCUCAGGUUGGCCCCUCCCAGCUGCCUCUGACACCCCACUUUGGCCCCGUGGGGAAUCCACGCAUCCCACUGAAGCACCAGGAGCCCAUGUGGCUUGGGACGGGAGGAAUCUGGUCCUCAGAAGGAUUGUAGUGACUUCCUGGAGAUGGGAGGUCCCAGGAGUGGUGACCAGGUGCCGGGUGUGACCCUGGCCUUGUCUAUCCCUGCUCCCUGUGGCAGCUGCAUGUGGGAUCUGAGAGGGUGGGUUCAGUCACAGUAGGGGAAGGACCAUGCACGCAGCAGGGGGUACUGUGACGGAAGCUGCUGCCCGGAGGUGGGACUGGGUCACCAGAGGUUUAGAUAAAGUCCUAUAUGCUGCACACAUGUAUGCCAUAUGUGCCCCUGCUAGAAACCUGGGUUUCUAGGGGGGACAGAGGCUUUUAGAGGACGCCCCAUUUUUAUUUCAACACCUGGUCUUCACAUCGCACAUCCUCCAUGCUUCUGCCAGAAACCCAGCCUGAGUCUAGCAGGACCCCGGGACAGCGCGGAACAGGCCUGACUGCUCUCAGGGAGCUGUCUUCCACGCUGGCCGCAUCCCUGUCAGAGCUGGAAGGGACUUGAGGGUCGUGUGGUACGAGCCCUGCCCGUCACAGAGGGGAGGACAGGCCCAGGGCACCAGACGCUUCAUGGCAGGGCGGGGACAGCCCAGAGCUGGCUGUCCACUGCACCGUGACCCCCAGUUCGCCUCUGCGGACCUCUGGGGGUGUUUGGUUUUCCCAGGGGUGAUGAUACGGGUGCGUCUGCAGGGUCCCUGGCUUGCUCAGUGUGGUCUGUGAGCCAGCCAGGUUGGAAACGUGCUGCUCCGAGGCAGGCAGGGACGGAGCGGCCCAGGUUAGAGCCCAGACCAGCACGGGCCCCUGGGGCUGAGCAUCCUGCAGCGACUGUGAGGCCGGGCGUCCAGUUUGGGUCCUGGCCUCAGCAGCGUGACGGCAGUCGCUCGGGUACCGAGCCUUGCUCUGGCCAGCACUGUGCCAGGCGCUGGGGACGUGGAGCGGACCCCUAUCCUCAAGGGACAUGACAUCUCCCGGGGUGAGGGUCUGACUCCAGUGCAGAGCCAUCAGUGGUGGCGCGGAGACGAGCGUGAGGAGCUGCUCUUGUGGGGAGGGCUCCGGAGCUGAACCCCGAAGGCCGUGUGGGCUUCAGAGAGGGGAAGGAGGCGGUGAUGAAGCCGGGCAUUCCUGGCACAGGGUGUGAGUCGUGUCAGGGAGGGGAGCGUGGCUCGUUCAGAGAAAAGUCCAGGAGGUCAGCACAGCUGGAGGGUGGGCAGCGGGGUGAGGAGCUGGACAGGCGGGCAGCCCCGGUGUGAGGUGGAUGGGCGCCUGGGUGGAGCAGAGGCCCUGCGGUGGGGCAGCGACCGGGCUAAGCUGGGCAGUGGCAGGACCGGAGUUUCAUCUGGGGAGACCACCGGGCUGCUGCAACUGCCUGCACGUGGUUGACCCCAUGCCUGUGCCCGGCCAUGACGUGGAGGCCUACUGCUUGCUGUGCGAGUGCAGGUACGAGGAGCGCAGCACCACCACCAUCAAGGUCAUCAUUGUCAUCUACCUGUCGGUGGUGGGGGCCCUCCUGCUCUACAUGACUUUCCUGAUGCUGGUGGACCCUCUGAUCCGAAAGCCGGAUGCGUACACAGAACAGCUGCACAAUGAGGAGGAGAACGAGGAUGCUCGCUCUAUGGCGGCUGCCGCGGCCUCCUUCGGGGGACCCCGCGCCAACACGGUCCUGGAACGUGUGGAAGGCGCUCAGCAGCGGUGGAAGCUGCAGGUGCAGGAGCAACGGAAGACGGUCUUCGAUCGGCACAAGAUGCUCAGCUAGAGGGCCCGGCACAGUCGGGCCAAGGACCAGCGGCCACGGCUGGAUAGAGCCAGGGGCCACUCUCCCCUCCUUCGACGCCACCCUUCCUGGGUCUUCCCUUUAAAAGCCUGUGGCGUUUUUUCCUCCUUCUGCCCCUCUUUAGAAACGUUGUUCUCAGCUGAGUUAAUUCCGGAAGCGUGAUGGGGUCCCCGAUCUCUCGUUCGCCUGCUCAGGUCUUGGGGGUUUGUGGGGGGAAGGCAGGCCAAGAGGGGAUGGAGGCGUCCGUCUCAGGCGGCCUCAGGGUUGGAAGGAGCCUCUCUCUCAUUGCUCCACCCUUGCCACCUCUCCGGCUCCAAAUCCCGGGAAGGUUCCAGCCUCUGGAAGGUGGAGCUGGGUCGUCAGGACCUCGGUGUGUGGGAGGAAAGCCUGGCCCCUGCCACCUGUGCUGCUUUCUGCUGUGGUUGUGGUGGCUGCCUUCCUCGCCACCCCGAGACGUCAGCCCCCGAGCACCCAUCCCCUCUUCCUCCUCCCUCCUCUCCUCCCCUGACGCAUGGUGGUGGCCGUGCACCCUGCCUCCUCUCGGCCCGGCCCUCCCGCCCACUCAGGAGGCCAGGCAGGCCCCUUGCCUCCCUGUGUGUGUUGUCACUGAGCCAGACGGGUGGUGGGACCACGCGGCACAAGGCCGGGCGGUGGCUCUGAAUGCCACAGCCUUGGGGCACCACGCAUCCCUGAAUUUCCUUGUAGCGUGCAUGGGCAGACAUGUUUGUCUACCGUUGUCUGUAAGUCAAGGAAGCCAUCAUUAAAUUGUCUUAUUUCUCACUUUCUGGAUUUCAA
rnacentral:lncRNA from 1 species